AGUGACGGACGGNUGAGUAACGCGUGGGAAUCUACCCUUUAGUUGGGGACAACAUAUGGAAACGUAUGCUAAUACCGAAUAUGCUCUACGGAGUAAAGGUGCCCUCUCCUUGGAAGGUAUCGCUAAAGGAUGAGCCCGCGUUAGAUUAGCUAGUUGGUAAGGUAAAGGCUUACCAAGGCGACGAUCUAUAGCUGGUUUGAGAGGAUGAUCAGCCACACUGGGACUGAGACACGGCCCAGACUCCUACNGGAGGCAACAGUGGGGAAUAUUGCACAAUGAGGGAAACCUUGGUGCAGCCAUGCCGCGUGUGUGAAGAAGGCCCGAGGGUUGUAAAGCACUUUCAAUUGUGAGGAAGAUUAAGUAGCUAAUACCUGCUUAGUUUGACGUUAACUUUAGAAGAAGCACCGGCUAACUCUGUGCCAGCAGCCGCGGUAAUACAGAGGGUGCAAGCGUUAUUCGGAAUUACUGGGCGUAAAGCGCGCGUAGGCGGACUGUUAAGUCGGUUGUGAAAGCCCUGGGCUCAACCUAGGAACUGCAUCCGAUACUGGCAAUCUAGAGUUUAAGAGAGGGAAGU
rnacentral:rRNA from 1 species